rnacentral:rRNA from 1 species
GACGAACGCUGGCGGCGUGCUUAACACAUGCAAGUCGAACGGAAAGGCCCUGCUUUUGUGGGGUGCUCGAGUGGCGAACGGGUGAGUAACACGUGAGUAACCUGCCCUUGACUUUGGGAUAACUUCAGGCAACUGGGGCUAAUACCGGAUAGGAGCUCCUGCUGCAUGGUGGGGGUUGGAAAGUUUCGGCGGUUGGGGAUGGACUCGCGGCUUAUCAGCUUGUUGGUGGGGUAGUGGCUUACCAAGGCUUUGACGGGUAGCCGGCCUGAGAGGGUGACCGGCCACAUUGGGACUGAGAUACGGCCCAGACUCCUACGGGAGGCAGCAGUGGGGAAUAUUGCACAAUGGGCGGAAGCCUGAUGCAGCAACGCCGCGUGCGGGAUGACGGCCUGCGGGUUGUAAACCGCUUUCGCCUGUGACGAAGCGUGAGUGACGGUAAUGGGUAAAGAAGCACCGGCUAACUACGUG